rnacentral:lncRNA from 1 species
CUGGCUUUUCUCAGUGUGGUUUGUGUUGUAACCCUAACAGUCUGUGAGGGUGGUACACAUGGUAAUCUUUGCUGAGCAUAUCCUGAACGUCUGAUGUUUGUUUUGCUGGUUUUGAACUCUCACAUUCUGGAAAGAAAAGGGAAGUAGAAAGACAGCUGGGCAGCACAGACAUUUAUUUUACCUUCAUGUUUCCUUGUGCCCUGGCUGGGUGCACGACACAUUAAAUCCAUCAUCUUGGCAACAAUGUAUGUGGUCACAUGCCACCCUGGCUCUCUGGUCUGUCUGACAAAUACAUCAUUAGGAAUAUUUUUGGCUGCGGUGCAUCUGACACUCCACAAAAAAAGGUUUCUUGAUUGAAGGUUCUUGUACUGUAAAGAGACCUGCUGCAUCAUAAGAUAGCGUACGACACAGGGCAUGCAGUUAUAAUUUUAUAAGGAAGAUACUGCUCAGCCUUGCUUCUGACGGUGCCAUCUUUCCCUUCAAUCUCUUAAAUGAAAAUUCUACUGUCAUCCUGCAGCCGCAUAGGUACCUCAAGUUGAAAAAAAUGCACCUGUUUUUUUUUAACUUCUGUGGGUUCAGGAGCAGUCUCAGAAGUGUAAGUAUUGUGAGCUAUAGACUUG